rnacentral:rRNA from 1 species
GGAUGGUUCAUUCAAAUUUCUGCCCUAUCAACUUUCGAUGGUAGGAUAGUGGCCUUACAUGGUUUGUGACGGGUAACGGGGAAUUAGGGUUCUAUUCCGGAGAGGGAGCCUGAGAAACGGCUACCACAUCCAAGGAAGGCAGCAGGCGCGCAAAAUUACCCAAUCCCAAUACGGGGAGGUAGUGACAAUAAAUACUGAUACAGGGCUCUUUUGGGUCUUGUAAUUGGAAUGAGUACAAUUUAAAUCCCUUAACGAGGAACCAAUUGGAGGGCAAGUCUGGUGCCAGCAGGCCGCGGUAAUUCCAGCUCCAAUAGCGUAUAUUAAAGUUGUUGCAGUUAAAAAGCUCGUAGUUGAACCUUGG